rnacentral:rRNA from 1 species
CGGUCCCUAUCUGCCGUGGGCGCUGGAGAACUGAGGGGGGCUGCUCCUAGUACGAGAGGACCGGAGUGGACGCAUCACUGGUGUUCGGGUUGUCAUGCCAAUGGCACUGCCCGGUAGCUAAAUGCGGAAGAGAUAAGUGCUGAAAGCAUCUAAGCACGAAACUUGCCCCGAGAUGAGUUCUCCCUGACUCCUUGAGAGUCCUGAAGGAACGUUGAAGACGACGACGUUGAUAGGCCGGGUGUGUAAGCGCAGCGAUGCGUUGAGCUAACCGGUACUAAUGAACCGUGAGGCUUAACCUUACAACGCCGAAGGUGUUU